AAUAAAAUGCCUGAAUAAGGGUUAGUUUGAUAGACUAAAUGAUGUAAUUUAUAAAUUACUUUUAUUA
rnacentral:tRNA from 1 species